rnacentral:rRNA from 1 species
AGAACGAACGCUGGCGGCAGGCCUCAAACAUGCAAGUCUAGGGGGCGUAGCAAUACGUCACCGGCGGACGGGUGCGUAACACGUGGGAAUGUACUUACUGGUUCGGAACAACUCAGGGAAACUUGAGCUAAUACCGAAUGUGCCCGAAAGGGGAAAGAUUUAUCGCCAGUAAAUCAGCCCGCGUCCGAUUAGCUAGUUGGCGGGGUAAAGGCCCACCAAGGCGACGAUCGGUAGCUGUUCUGAGAGGAAGAUCAGCCACACUGGGACUGAGACACGGCCCAGACUCCUACGGGAGGCAGCAGUUGGGAAUCUUGGACAAUGGGGAAACCCUGAUCCAGCCAUGCCGCGUGAGUGAUGAAGGCCUUCGGGUUGUAAAACUCUUUCGACGGGGACGAUAAUGACGGUACCCGUAGAAGAAGCUCCGGCUAACUUCGUGCCAGCAGCCGAC